rnacentral:ncRNA from 1 species
AACUGCAUAAGAGGAACAGGUGCAAGCCGGCGCACAUCCGGCUGCUGAAAAGAGAAGCUGGUUAAAGGCCAGCGCGGUCCCGCCACUGUAAGGGGAGUAAGCCUGCAUAGUUAAGUCACUGAAAGCGAAGCUUUUGGGAAGGCGCAGGGGAGCAAUGAACCGAGCCAGGAGAACUGCCUGUUUGACAAUCACCGU